GACGAACGCUGGCGGCGCGCUUAACACAUGCAAGUCGAACGAGAUCUUCGGGUCUAGUGGCGCACGGGUGCGUAACGCGUGGGAAUCUGCCCUUUGGUUCGGAAUAACAGUUGGAAACGACUGCUAAUACCGGAUGAUGACGAAAGUCCAAAGAUUUAUCGCCAGAGGAUGAGCCCGCGUAGGAUUAGCUAGUUGGUGUGGUAAAGGCGCACCAAGGCGACGAUCCUUAGCUGGUCUGAGAGGAUGAUCAGCCACACUGGGACUGAGACACGGCCCAGACUCCUACGGGAGGCAGCAGUGGGGAAUAUUGGACAAUGGGCGAAAGCCUGAUCCAGCAAUGCCGCGUGAGUGAUGAAGGCCUUAGGGUUGUAAAGCUCUUUUACCCGGGAUGAUAAUGACAGUACCGGGAGAAUAAGCUCCGGCUAACUCCGUGCCAGCCGCCGCAGUAA
rnacentral:rRNA from 1 species